rnacentral:rRNA from 1 species
GACGAACGCUGGCGGCGUGCCUAAUACAUGCAAGUCGAACGCAGUGGGGACGGGUGAGUAACCCGUGGGUAACCUCCCAUCAGAGGGGAUAACACUUGGAAACAGGUGCUAAACCUAUACUGAUGGAUGGACCCGCGGUGCAUUAGCUAGUUGGUGAGGUAACGGCUCACAAAGGCCACGAGGCAUAGCCGACCUGAGAGGGGGAUCGGCCACACUGGGACUGAGCCACGGCCCAGACUCCUACGUGAGGCAGCAGUAGGGAAUCUGCGGCAAGGGACGAAAGUCUGACAGAGCAACGCCGCGUGAGUGAAGAAGGUUUUCGGAUCGUAAAACUCUGUUGUUAGAGAAGCGGUAUCUAACCAGAAAGCCACGGCUAACUACGUGCCAGCAGCCGCGGUAAUAC